rnacentral:rRNA from 1 species
GAGUUUGAUCGUGGCUCAGGACGAACGCUGGCGGCGUGCUUAACACAUGCAAGUCGAACGGAGCGAAAUGGAAGCUUGCUUCUAUGGAGCUUAGUGGCGAACGGGUGAGUAACGCGUAAUCAACCUGCCCUUCAGAGGGGGACAACAGUUGGAAACGACUGCUAAUACCGCAUACGAUUCAACUUCGGCAUCGAGGAUGAAUGAAAGGUGGCCUCUAUUUAUAAGCUAUCGCUGAAGGAGGGGAUUGCGUCUGAUUAGCUAGUUGGAGGGGUAACGGCCCACCAAGGCGAUGAUCAGUAGCCGGUCUGAGAGGAUGAACGGCCACAUUGGGACUGAGACACGGCCCAGACUCCUACGGGAGGCAGCAGUGGGGAAUAUUGCACAAUGGGCGAAAGCCUGAUGCAGCGACGCCGCGUGAGCGAUGAAGUAUUUCGGUAUGUAAAGCUCUAUCAGCAGGGAAGAAAAUGACGGUACCU